UAACAAUGAUUCCCCUAGUAACGGCGAGUGAACAGGGAAAAGCUCAAAGUUGGAACCUCCUGGUCCUAGAUUAGGCGGAUUGUAAACUAAAGCUCUUGGGUAGUACGGUUGGCCUGAUAAAAAAGUUCUCUGGAAAGAGGCGACAUAGAGGGUGAUAUCCCCGUCUUUGGUCAGAGCUCAAUCAUGCGUUUGCCCUUUAGCGAAGAGUCAGGUUGUUUGGGAAUGCAGCCUAAAAUGGGAGGUAAAUCUCUCCUAAAGCUAAAUAUUGACGAAAGACCGAUAGCGAACAAGUACCGUGAGGGAAAGAUGAAAAGCACUUUGAAAAGAGGGUCAAAAAGUACGUGAAAUUGCUGAAAGGGAACCGUAUGAAAUCAGUCUGAUGUGUUGGUAAUCAAUCUGGAUCUCGAUCUGGAUGCACUUGCCGAUGUAUUAGCCUGCGACAGUUUGAUCUGGAGGAAAAAAGAUGGGAGAAUGUGGCCUUGGCUUCGGUUAAGGUGUUAUAGCUCCUGUCAAAAUACUUUGGAUUGGACUGAGGACUGCAGCGAGCCGCAAGGUAAAGGUCUCGGGCGCUUGUUCUGGCUAUGUAAGAAAUCUCUGCUUCGGGUGGUAUCUUGCCUAAUCGGGACAACACGCUUGUUUCUCUUUUUUCUCGCUUAGGUCGUAGGCAUAAUGAUUUUAUAUGACCCGUCUUGAAACACGGACCAA
rnacentral:rRNA from 1 species